AUGAAGGACUCUGCUCCGGCGUAUGUAGUCUGUUCACCCCUGUUUAAACAGAGAAGCUUCUCAUGGCUGACUUCUUUUGGAAGAUAUACUCUCUUUUCACAACUCCCACAGAGCCCAGCAACCCACAGCAGAGCUCCCAAGAGAAAAUCAAGAAUGAAAUUCCCAAAGCCUUCUUCAUUUUUAUCCCUCAGACUCACGAAGGACUCUGGCUGGGGUCUGGGAGCCCUCAAACACUACCAAGCCAAAUCUCUUGUUUCUCCGAGUGCAUAUUCAUAGUUCUUUGUUGCAGGAAGCUGGGAGUCUCCCCAUCUAGCCAGAAACAAGAUUGACUCUCCCAUGCACAGAUCGCACAGCACUCUCUGAUCUCUGAAGAGGUAACACGGGAGAGGACCUUGGCAGGACCAGGUGCUGAUUCUUAGUCAGCUGCAUCUAGCAUUUGUCCCUUAGAUUUUUCUCUUUCCUUUUUUAUUCUCUAAUACUUCCUGGGCAUCUACCAUGUAUGUGCAAGUUGUAAAUUGAAUAACUAACAAGGAUUCCUCCCCCAAUAUAACCUAGAAAAGUUAUUUUCUCCCCUUUCCAAUGCAGAGCUCUGUUAAGCUCCCAGGUAUGGAUCUCGUUAUUGGCACUGAAGCUCAGUAUAAAAUGGUGUUAUAUCUGAACCCUGCUCCAUAAAGCUCAUGUGGAUCCAUCAUAGAAUUUACACUAAGUUAUACCUGAAACAAGAAAGCUUCAUUUUCUACCCGUAAGACCUAUGAGAUAAAGAAAUAGUUCAAAUAAUUGAAUGGAAUCAGGCCAAUGUGAAAUAAAGAGUGACUCUGAGCCCUAAAUAUAGUAAAAUAUAAGCAUAUAACCAAUAGCAGGAGAGCAGAGGGUUAAACUUUAUCUAUCCUUAAAUUUUCUUGUUAUUUUAUUUCAAAUUAUCCUUGUUGCAAUAUCUCAUUUAUAUCCAAAUAUAUCUACCAUUGGUGAAAAAUUGUUCCCUACUUCUACAAUUCAAUCAUUUAAUUAAAUUCAUGUAACUUAAUUCAACCCUUACAACCAUGUAGAGAGGUGAUUGUUAUUGUUAUUAUAAUUGAUGAUGUCCAGGCAGCCUGAGUUUAAGUAAUUUUGUCAACGGUCAAAUAAUUUAGUAAAUGACAGAUAUACUAAUAGUACUUCAAUGACAAUGCCUUGUAAUCAUCACAUGGAACCUGCCAAUCGCUAGAGUAGGCAAGACAAAUGCCUGUAUUGGAACAGAUAUAUUUUAAAUGCCUAUAUUGGAUAUUCCUGUAAAAGAAAGUGAACACUAUAGAUAACUGUAGAUCUAAACCUCAUGAGGGAAGGUCUUUUGGUGUCUGCAUGUGUCUGUUUUAUUCAUUAUUCUACUCUUCAUACCUACAAAAACAACUGUUGCUUAUUGUGAAUUUGAUAAGUAAGUGUAUAAUGAAUGAAUUCAAUGUGUGUCUGUCAUUUAAUGCCUAAGUUUUCUAUCUCUCCAUGAUGCUUACUUUUGUCUUUUCUGUGCCACAUUAUUCUCCUAAAAAUACCCCUAAAACUUAAUUGCCUACAUACUUGGAAUUUUAUCUAUUGGUUAAGUUUUCAUGCAUUUCAUCUUAUUCCUGGAUUACUUUGUAAGAUUUUUCAGGUAAGUUCAUUCCGCUUAAGAGUAACAUUUUAUACUACUAUCAGUAUAGUCAAAGGUCCUAAUACACUACAUUGUACACAUAGGGGAUACAUAUUUAUUCUCGGUGAAUAUGUAUUCUUCUUGCUUACUUACUAGAUGAUUAGCCACCAAUUUAACCAAGUCAAUGCAGUCUUUUUUACAUUAUUAACUGAAGAAAAGUGGUGCCCUUUAAAGAUGUUCUUAAGAUUAAGAAACAAAAAGAAGUCAGAAGGAGCCAAAUCAGCACUGUGAGGUGGAUGCCUCAUGAUUUCCCACAGAAACUUGUAUAAAAUUGUCCUUGCUUGAUGAGAGGAAUAAGUUGGAGCAUUGUCAUGGUGGAAAGGGAUUCUCUGGUGAAGAUUUCCAGGCAUUUUUCUGCUAAAGCUCUGGCUAACUUUCUCAAAACAUCCUUAUAAUAAGCAGAUGCUAUCAUUCUUUGACCCUCCAGAAAUUCAGUAAACAAAAUGCCGUGAGCAUUGCAAGAAAACUGUUGCCAUGACUUUUGCUCUUGAAUGGGCCACUUUUACUUUGACUGGACCUCCACCUCUUGGUAAUCAUUGCUUUAAUUGUGCUUUAUCUUCGGAAUCACAAGGAUAAAGCCAUGUUUCAUCUCCUGUUCCAAUUAUUUGAAGAAAUUUUUCAGGAUCAUUAUCCCACUUGUUCAAAAUUUCAAUUGAAAGCUCUGCUCUUAUCUGGAGCUGAUCUGAGCAUACUGGUUUUGGCACCCAUCAAGUACAAAGUUUGCUCAACUUGAAUUUUUCAGUCAGAAUUGUGUGAGCUAAACCAAUUGAGACAUUUAUAGUGUUGGCUAUUGUUUCCACUGUUAAUCAUCGGUCCUUUUCGAUUAAGGCACAUAUGGUUAAUUUUUUCUUCAUAAAUUGUUGUGGAAUGUCUCCACUGUGGGCUUCAUCAGCAUCCUCUUGUCUAUUCUUUUUUUUUUUUUUUUUUUUUUUGAGACGGAGUCUCGCUCUGUCGCUCAGACUGGAGUGCAGUGGCACUAUCUCGGCUCACUGCAACCUCUGUCUCCUGGGUUCAAGCGAUUCUCCUGCCUCAGUCUCCUGAGUAGCUGGGAUUACAGGCAUGCGCCCACCACACCAAGCUAAUUUUUGUAUUUUUAGUAGAGACGAGGUUUCACCCUGUUGGUCAGGCUGGUCUCGAACUCCUAACCUCGUGAUCCACCCAUCUCGGUCUCCCAAAGUGCUGGGAUUACAGGUGUGAGCCACCACGCCCAGCCCCUCUUGUCUAUUCUUAAACAAAUUAUCCAUUUUGUUUAAGAACGGACAGACGAGAGGAUGGCUGAUUUUAUUGGGGUGUUGAGCCUAUAAAUUUUUCAUAAAGCAUCAAUGAUUUCACCAUUCUUCCACUGAAGUUUCACCGUAAAUUUGAUGUUUGUUCUUGCUUCAAGCUUAACAGAAUUCAUGUUGCUCUGAUAGGGGUGCCUUUCAAACUGAUGUCUUAUCCUUCUUAGUGCCUUAAACUAAAUUCUGUUCAGAUAUGUUAUAACAACUUAGUAUAAGUUUAUUUUGGUGCAAAAAAGUUUGAAACCCAUGCAUAGUUUUUCAUAAUACGCAAUUUCCUUUUUCCAUAAACUUUUUGAAGACACCUAGCAUUUAUUGAAUAAAGUGAUCUGAAAAUUCAACAAUUCACAAAGAGUGUUGAAUUUAUUUUUAUUCAUCUUUCAGUCAUAUGUUUCUGAAUUACCUUAGCCAAUUCUUCCAGCUCAAUCUAGUGGCCAAGUGGCAAAUUGCUUAUUGUGGCAGUUCUUUCUCUUCAGUCAUUGGUCAAAAAUUUGGUAUGUCUAACUUCAAAUCAAAGACUCAGGGAUUAGGAUGUUUUUGAUGAAUGAUAACUCUGAAAAUGGUCUAUGAGUGUAGCGAGGUAUUUUCUUAGAGUGUUUUCCUCCGAUGCUACACCUGUGCUGUCACAACCAUAGCCACUUCCUGUCUGUGAUGGUGAAUCCUUUCUUUGGUCUCUCCAGCAGAUGGAUGUCUCAAGCAGACCCGUGGGGUUUUGUGCACCUCCCUCCAACAGUUCUCUCACUGUAGCCUCUUUCAGUGCACAAAAACACAUCACUGAGUUCUCCAGUUGUGAAGUGGAGAUGACAAGUUGAUGGAUUUGCUUGUCUUCUGCAAAUUCAAUGAGUAGUGACCUAUUGCAUAUUGCAGAUCAUGAGUCCUGAUGAAUAAGAAAAAUCAUCUCCCCACUCCUGGGCUACUUGUACCAGAACAGACUAUAACUUCCAGCACUAGUGUCAUAAUUGCAGUCCAGAGUCACAGCGUCCUUCUCAUGCACCAAUACUGAUGGUUUAACUUGAGUUGCUUGUCAGCAAAACCAGAUUCUGAAGGAGAAAACAAAGAACCAAAAGGUUUAGGGAUGAGUAAUGUGGAACGAAGAAAUUCUACUUUUACACCCUGUUACUUCUUCUGUACCAAAGUUUUGAUAAGACAUUUCCCAGUUCUUAGGUCUUAGAGGAAGACCAUUCCCACCAGGGGCAUCCCUACCUAGCCACAUUGAAGCUGUGACCACCCUCAGGCAGCUGGAGAGCAACAUGUUUGGUUCUUUCUCCAGACAGAAUAUAUUUUGUUCUUCUUAAAAUUCAGGGCUCUGCAUUGUGAGGUGAGUCUGAUGAAGUAAGAGAAGAGUUACUGGACUAUGUGCUGCUGCUGCUGCUGCUGCUGCUACCCCAGAAUAGGGAACAGGGGUUUUCCAGUGUAGCAAGCUAGUGUGUGCUCUCUAACACUUCUCUAUGUACUGGCUAAGAACCUCACCCAAUGCAAACUUCCUUUGGCACUUACCCACCCUUAAUUUGAUACUAAAUAACUUAAAUAUGAAA
ensembl:lncRNA